rnacentral:rRNA from 1 species
AAUUCGAUGCAACGCGCAGAACCUUACCUAGGCUUGAACUGUAGCGGACACCUCCCGAAGAGGAGUCUCUUCUUCGGAAGUCGCUAUAGAGGUGCUGCAUGGCUGUCGUCAGCUCGUGUCGUGAGAUGUUGGGUUAAGUCCCGCAACGAGCGUAACCCCUACCCUUAGUUACCAGCGAGUCAUGUCGGGAACUCUAAGGGGACUGCCCCGGAAAUCGGGGAGGAAGGUGGGGAUGACGUCAAGUCCUCAUGGCCUUUAUGUCUAGGGCUACACACGUGCUACAAUGGGCGGUACAAAGGGUUGCGAAGCCGCGAGGUUGAGCUAAUCCCAGAAAACCGUCCUCAGUUCGGAUUGCAGUCUGCAACUCGACUGCAUGAAGGUGGAAUCGCUAGUAAUCCCGGAUCAGCACGCCGGGGUGAAUACGUUCCCGGGCCUUGUACACACCGCCCGUCACAUCACGAAAGUCGGCUGUACCGGAAGCCGGUGGGCUAACCCUCACGGGAGGCAGCUGUCCAUGGUAUGGUCGGCGAUUGGGGUGAAGUCGUAACAAGGUA